AACGUAGGUGGCAAGCGUUAUCCGGAUUUACUGGGCGUAAAGCGUGUGCAGGCGGAGCGAUAAGUGGUGUAUGAAAGCGCCCGGCUCAACCGGGCAGGGUUAUGCCAGACUGUCGUUCUAGAGGGCGAGAGAGGGGCAUGGAAUUCCGGGUGUAGUGGUGAAAUGCGUAGAGAUCCGGAGGAACCCCAGAGGCGAAGGCGGUGCCCUGGCUCGCAUCUGACGCUCAGACACGGAAAGCAUGGGGAGCGAACGGG
rnacentral:rRNA from 1 species